GCGCGUUUGCAUCCAUUUAGCUGAUCUCCACCAUUUAAGAGCUCAUAAACAUGUUUAGUAAGUGAAAUUAGAGACAUGAAUUAUUAGCAUCCUUGUGGGCCUUAUCCAUUGAUAGAAGCUCCUAUAUAUGUUAAUUUAAGUAACUAGUGUAUCAGUUAAUAAUGGAGAUUCACUGUCCCUGUUCCCAUGUUUAUGACAUAAAGUUAUUACAUUAUUCAUCUUUUUCUGCUGUUUUUGUGUCUUUGAUUAUGUUGGUCUUUGAAGUCACAAGUACAUAUAAAAUUUUGGGGUUAAAAGCAAGAUUAAAUUGCAAUUCAAGUUACAAACAUUGAAUCAUAGCUCUUGAAUGUUCAUGAUUUGAAUUCUUUGUCGCACAUAUUAAGCAUGUUCAGAGUUGGGAAGGCAUGAGGAAUUGUUUUGCCCUUUCACUUGUGUUUUUAAGAUCUUCACUUGAUUCUCAGUUUAAUUGUAUAAAUGCUGACUAUAUGAUGAAUUGAAA
rnacentral:misc_RNA from 1 species